GUAGGGAAUCUUCCACAAUGGACGAAAGUCUGAUGGAGCAACGCCGCGUGAGUGAAGAAGGUCUUCGGAUCGUAAAACUCUGUUGUUAGAGAAGAACGUGCGUGAUAGUAACUGAUCAUGUAAUGACGGUAUCUAACCAGAAAGCCACGGCUAACUACGUGCCAGCAGCCGCGGUAAUACGUAGGUGGCAAGCGUUGUCCGGAUUUAUUGGGCGUAAAGGGAACGCAGGCGGUUUUUUAAGUCUGAUGUGAAAGCCUUCGGCUUAACCGAAGAAUAGCAUUGGAAACUGGAAGACUUGAGUGCAGAAGAGGAGAGUGGAAUUCCAUGUGUAGCGGUGAAAUGCGUAGAUAUAUGGAGGAACACCAGUGGCGAAGGCGGGUUCCUGGCCCAUGACUGACGCUGAGGUGCGAAAGCAUGGGGAGCAAACAGGAUUAGAUACCCGAGUAGUCC
rnacentral:rRNA from 1 species